rnacentral:ncRNA from 1 species
GCCGAGGUUAUACUAGCGAAGCCUGAGGAAACUCUGUUGGAGGCUCGACGCGAUACUGCGGUGCAACGCGUUCGUCUGACUUGGGUAUAGGGGCAAAAGACUAAUCGAACCAUCUAAUACCUGGUUCCCUCCGAAGUUUCCCUCAGGAUAGCUGGAGCCCAUUACGAGUUCUAUCAGGUAAAGCCAAUGAUUAGAGGCAUUGGGGACGCAACGUCCUCGACCUAUUCUCAAACUUUAAAUAGGUAGGAUGGCUCGGCUG